GUUACAACCUAUAACACCCUUUACGAGAUUUUGACAGAGCAGGUGUGCACACAGGUAGUCCACAAGCCUCAUCCUGAGCCUGACUCCACUGUCAAGAUUCAGAAUCCAAUGAUCCUCAAGGUUGUUGCAAAUUUACUGAAGA